CCCAACCACAGUGGUAACCACCAGGCGACAGUUGUGAGGCACAAUUUCACCUGACCCAAGGAAACCAGGCAUGGCACGGAUUUACAUAACAGAGAACUGUAUGCGCAUUCUAAUCAGAAAGAAUAGUUUGCCGAGACAGUUCCUGGUGUAAACAACUAAAAGAUUAGCCUCCAAUCUUCAUGUGAAGAAGCCCUUUCCGUAAAAGGUUGACAACUCUUUGUGAAGGCAAUAAGAAGAAGACUAAGCUCCCACGGCCACAAUUAUCAAACAGUCUUCGAUCCUGUGGUAUUCAGUGAAGGUUAUUCUGCGAGUAGUAAACAAGUGUCUGCCUGAUUAUUGGCCAAAUAUAGAACGCCUCCCGACAUACAAAUUGACUGGCAGUGCCACUCAUCAUGGCCUGCCCUGGCUUGGCCAGAGUCUGCUCUGAGCAAAUGUCGUUCAUUUGCAGGCCGAAGAUACUUUUUUUUUACCCAUUUCCUUUUUGUAUCAGCUUUCUCUCUGUAUUUUGGUUGAAGUAAAGUUUCAUACUUUUAAACUUUAGAUUCUUAUAACUAAAUUUGGAGUAUAAUUGAAAAUAAUUUGGCUCCUGGUCAUUUUGCCCAGCAUCUAGUACCACCAAUUGGAAAAGAUGAUUGACCAACUUUUCCUGUGCAGAGGAGUCUUUGUUGAAUGGAUGAUCUCUGGAGGCAACAUGUGCGACAAUAACUUCAGGAUGCAGUUCAGCAGCAGCUUGGGAGAAGAGGUAUACAUCAAGGAAGAAAAGGACCUGCAUGCUGAUCAGGAGCCAUUUAGCAACAUGGGAUGUAAGGUCUUCAUCAAAGAAGAAAGUGACUUGUGCAUAAAGGAAGAGAAUCAGUAUUAUGAAGAAUGGUCAGAAAUUGAUCAACCUUAUCUUGCAAAUGAUGAUGACUGUGUGAUUAAGAGUGAGGAGUUACCCAUUAUGGCCCCAAUAGCUGUUGAGGGUUUCUUUUGCCAUUUUUGUGGAGAAGGAUUUGUAACAGAAACAAGUCUGGCUGUCCACAUCCAAACACAUGUAGGGUUAAAAUUCUUUGGUUGUGAAGUGUGUGGUAAAAGAUUUGCAAUGAAAAGUCACCUGACAUUACAUGCAAAAGUACACACUAAAGAGAAACCUUAUUGCUGUGAGAUCUGCUCCCUAAGAUUUUUGCAGAAACGUGCACUCCUAUCACACAUGAGACUGCAUGCUGCAAUUAAAACUUUUACAUGUGAAGUGUGUAGUAAGACAUACCACCACAGAAGCCAUUUAGUCAGUCACAUGAGAGCACAUUCAGAUGAGAGACCAUUUAGCUGUGAGGUAUGUGACAAAAAGUUUUCACAGAAAGGUCAUCUUACUCGGCAUGCAGUAAUUCAUGCUCCAGUGAAACCUGUGGAUAAUGGUGUUCAGAUGAAGGCAGUGAAUGGUCAUGUGCAAAUGAUAUCUGUGAAAAGUGAUGUGGAAUUGUUGUCUGUGAAGAGUGAUUUGCAGUUAUUAUCAGUGAAGAGUGAAAUGCCAAAUGAACUGUUGUCUUUAAAAGAGCAGAAAUCUUACACAUGUGAUGUUUGUAGCAAAAUCUUCUUACAGAAAGGAUGUCUGGUAAAGCAUAUGAGAGUACACACAGGAGAGAAACCUUUUAGUUGCGACGUUUGUAGUGAAAAAUUUUCUCGGAAAAGUACCCUGGUGAGACAUAUUAGAAUUCACACAGGAGAGAAGCCCCAUUCCUGUGAAAUUUGUACAGAGAAAUUUUCAACGAAAUAUACACUAGUGCGGCACAGGAGGUGUCAUACAGGAGAAAAACCUCAUACUUGUGAGCUGUGUGGCAAGAAAUUUACAAACAAGAGUAAUUUAGUAAUUCAUAUGAGGGUACAUACUGGGGAGAGGCCAUACAGCUGUGAAGUGUGUCAUGAAAGAUUCUCUCAAAGAAGUAGCUUGGUAAUGCACAUGAGAGGGCACACAGGAGAAAAACCUUAUAGCUGUGAGGUGUGUGGGGAAAGAUAUUCACAUAAAGGUAAUUUAGUAGUUCAUAUGAGGGUCCACACAGGGGAAAGACCUUACAGAUGUACAGUAUGUGGAGAGAAAUUCUCACAGAGAAGUAGUUUGAUGAUGCAUAUGAGAAUACAUAGAAGGGAAUAAAAAUUUGUUUGUGAUUAUUUAUGGUUGAUGACUAGUCUAGUGCUUUUGGUCAGACCAAUAUACACUGGUGGAAGUCACUCAGUCAACCUUAUAAUUAGAACUUAGGGAAUGUUGUUCAUAAGAAAAAAAAAAAGAAAGCAAAGAAUUAGUGUCGGGGAAUUUUGGAUAUUUGGAUAUCUCGGUGAUAUUAACACUUUAAAGAGAAUGUCAUUAUUCAAGCUGAAAAAUCUUUAUUUCUCACCAAAAGAUUCAUCAGCCGUUUGAAAGCAACAUACCAGCUUCCCUCGCAGUAGGCCUAAUACCCCACAAGCCCAGAGGCCUGUGCCCCAAAUGUCUGCCCAUGUUGCUGCUCCACCAAACACAAAGGGAAGUUUCCUGUGCAUUCGAUGUCUGCCGUCGAGCCGUCGAGCAAGAAGGAAGUCACAGCAGCAACAGUCGCCGAAAGUACUGGAGCUUCGCCCUCCGCAUCGAAUUAUUUACCGAUUUCCCGUUUUUAGGGGCUUUAUGAAUUUUAAGGAAACACUUUAGUAACACUAACUUUAUAUUUUCGGUGUUCCAGGAUAUAAGAACCGGAAUCAUGGUGUAUUAUAAUAAACUUUCACAUACACAGCCAUAUCUGAGAACCUUCCCUCCCAAUCCCUUGCUCAUUGUUGUCGUCUUAGGAGACGGGGACUGAGGCCCAAUGUAGGGGAUCGCCCCUGCCUUGGCCUUCAGUCUUCGCCUCAACUGCAUGGUCUUCCCUUCUUUCCUUUUUCUUUUCUUCAUCUUCUUCUGUCCACUUCUCCUUAUCGUUUACUAAUUUUUACCCUUUUCGCCACAACACCUUUUCAUAAUGCCAUAUGACCUUUGAUGUCUGGCACAUAUAUUUGUUUUGACCAUUAACCGUAUUGGAAUUCACUAACAUCGCCUCGUGAACCAAAAAAUCUUCCUUACCUGGGGACUUCGCCCCCAAGCCUCACCCUUUUGCCAUAUUUAGAAUGCGCCGCUAGUGACAUGAUUUUAAAUAAAUGAAUAAA